GUUUUCUAUAUAAAGUUUAUUAACAUGUGUAACAAUAUUAACAAAUAUACAUCAUUUUGGCCACAUUAACAUCAUGUUUUUACACUUAAGAUCACCUGUCAUUUAAUAUUAUUAAUAAGAGGCAGAAAUAUCUUGUCAGCUUUUAUUUAGAUAUUUUUAUAUAAUACCCCUUCAUAUAAUUUUGAUACGCAAAGAAAAAAUAACCUCUCUAGCUAUUUUAACACUUAAACCUGUCUUUACAAAUCACCCUGUUAAAUAAGAACUAAUCAUCUAAUUUUUUUAAUCAUUAACAUGAUAGGAAUGCUUAACUUAAUUUACUUAUUUAGCUUGUGCAAACUAUAAUUUUUGUCUAGUCCAAUUAAAAGUAUCAAAUCUCAAAGUGCCUUGAUUAUCUAAUCAGUUCCCACUUUUGUUGUCAUUGAAUAUUUAGAUUAAGGCUGGUUAAAAUGUUAAUGAUCUCCCACUUCAAGAAUUCUAAGUCCUCCUGCUUUUUUAUUAAAUCUUAAAAAUGACAUUGUAAAAUAAUUAUUGAAUAAAAAUCAGAAAUAAGAAAUCUAAGGUUCUUGAAGAGAUAUUUGUCCUUUUAUGUCCGACCUUAAAAAGUUUACUCAAAUAAAUUCAGCAAAUUUAUUCAUAACGGAUGACAAAAAGAAAUAAAAAUAGAGUGCAAUUAUCAUAUUAAUAAUGGAAAUCAUAUUAUUGUAUAGCAAUUUAAUAUUUCCCACAGAAAGUAACCUAAAGUUAGCGUGCAAUAAAUCUUCAAAAUUCAUGACGUCAUCAACGACAAAACUUCAGUUUAAACCAAUUUUUACUUUCAAAUAUUAUAUUGCUAUACAUGUACAAUAAAAGGGUUAUUGCAUGUAUAUUGGGGAAUAUUCAUGCAAUAACCCUAUAUUACUAUUUUUUGAGGGAAUAGGUUUAAGUUAAUUUCAAUCAAUAAAAGAACCAAUUAAUGGCAGUGAAGUGAUUUGUCCCAGAUCUUGUACAGACAGACAGAUAGCUAGCUGUUAGACCCAACAUAUUUUUAUCCAUAAAUUUAAGCUUACUUUGAAAUAUAGUUAAAAUUGUAAUUAAGCCACACAAAAAAUAAUAUAAAAGAAUGAAAUAAAUUUAAGAACACUGACACAAGGCACAAACUUGCCAAACAAGUCACUGGUUCAAAUUCAACAUAGUAAAAUCAUCUCCUUGAUGUAGAAACAUAAAAAAAAACACAAUGCCACUUUUUAAAACAAAAUUUUUUAUACAAA
rnacentral:lncRNA from 1 species